CCAGACUCCUACGGGAGGCAGCAGUGGGGAAUAUUGGGCAAUGGGCGCAAGCCUGACCCAGCAACGCCGCGUGAAGGAAGAAGGCUUUCGGGUUGUAAACUUCUUUUCUUGGGGACGAAGAAAGUGACGGUACCUGACGAAUAAGCCACGGCUAACUACGUGCCAGCAGCCGCGGUAAUACGUAGGUGGCAAGCGUUAUCCGGAUUUACUGGGUGUAAAGGGCGUGUAGGCGGGAGAGCAAGUCAGACGUGAAAUUCCAGGGCUCAACCCUGGAACUGCGUUUGAAACUGUUCUUCUUGAGUGAUGGAGAGGCAGGCGGAAUUCCUAGUGUAGCGGCGAAAUGCGUAGAUAUUAGGAGGAACACCAGUGGCGAAGGCGGCUUACUGGACAGUAACUGACGUUGAGGCUCGAAAGCGUGGGGAGCAAACAGGAUUAGAUACCCCGGUACA
rnacentral:rRNA from 1 species